rnacentral:misc_RNA from 1 species
AGCCGGCACGUCAUCUCCAGCCACCAACCCGUCUUCAACGAGGGAGGGGGCCUUCUCAUGACGCGAACCGGCAAUCGCUGCUCAUUCGAUCGAAGAGGCAUUCCGCAUGCACGUGGCCACGCUCCUCGCGCGCAGGUUUGACGUGUCGGCAUCGGCGACAUGACAAUCAAGCGACAGGGGCAAUGAUCCUUGGGCAAGGGACCUCCCGAAGUCUGCGGGACACAGGCCCGCAGAGCUAACAAUAGGCACAGCAUCCGUGAGAGCCGACAAAAAUCCAAGCGACAGUAACAAGGCAUUCGCCCACGCGACAACGCAAGGAUUUCGCCAAAUUUUUGGCUGCCCAAGCGACAAAUCAAUGUCAGCAUGGCAAGCAAAUAUCCAUCGAGGGACGACUUCGCUACCCGCAAAAGGGUAGAACCGCACAGGCAACCGAUAACGAGCCUCCCAGCCCGACAAAUGUGCUGACGGGAGGGAGAGUGAAGAGACAACCCCAUGACGGUUGGCCGCACCGAA